AUGCACGCUGGCGGCGUGCCUAAUCCAUGCCAGUCGAGCGAACGGACGAGAAGCUUGCUUCUCUGAUGUUAGCGGCGGACGGGUGAGUAACACGUGGAUAACCUACCUAUAAGACUGGGAUAACUUCGGGAAACCGGAGCUAAUACCGGAUGAUAUUUUGAACCGCCUGGUUCAAAAGUGAAAGACGGUCUUGCUGUCACUUAUAGAUGGAUCCGCGCUGCAUUAGCUAGUUGGUAAGGUAACGGCUUACCAAGGCAACGAUGCAUAGCCGACCUGAGAGGGUGAUCGGCCACACUGGAACUGAGACACGGUCCAGACUCCUACGGGAGGCAGCAGUAGGGAAUCUUCCGCAAUGGGCGAAAGCCUGACGGAGCAACGCCGCGUGAGUGAUGAAGGUCUUCGGAUCGUAAAACUCUGUUAUUAGGGAAGAACAUAUGUGUAAGUAACUGUGCACAUCUUGACGGUACCUAAUCAGAAAGCCACGGCUAACUACGUG
rnacentral:rRNA from 1 species